rnacentral:tRNA from 1 species
GUCGUUAGCUCAGUUGGUAGAGCAGCGGACUUUUAAUCCGUUGGUCGCANAGAUUCAACGAAAACGCCA